AGGGCGCUUCCGGCUCGAGACGGAAGUGCUCCUGCGUGGGGCAGGAAGUCCCGCCCCACGCCGAUCUCCAUGGAGACUAGACGCUGUUAGUGGAGAAAGGGCGUGGAGCGUGGGACUCCGACCACAGGAAUUGAACCAAGGGCAUAACUUGGAAAAACCCGGACAAGAACCCUCUUUAGACCCAUUAAGCCUGUUUAGAGAUCCUAAGAGAUGAUUUUUAACAAGCAUUGGCUUUGCAGAGCGUCCAGUCCACUAACCUCAUUUAAUCUGCACUAUGAACUCCGAAGAGGACGACUCAAGAGAGGGUCCUUUCCUGGCAUGUCUUCACUGAGGGGUCUUACCACCUUGAUUUUGCCUGUCUUUAAAAAAAAAAAAAAA